rnacentral:lncRNA from 1 species
CAAGUCUGCUGUAAUUCUCUGGGAAGAUAUUCAAGAAACGCUUCAUGCCUUCAGAUGUAUAGGACUUGCGGCAAAUCUUAUCUCAAAUUGUUUCUAUUCUGAACUAUGUGAUUUUUAACUUGUAUAUCAAGUGUUAGCUCUAUCGAACGUCCUCACAAGGUCCUCAGUGUUUUUACAGGGGUAUAAGCAAGUUAAGACAACUACUGUCCCCAUCCCAUCAGUGGUCCUAUCAGCAUAACCCUAGAACCGUCAGGAGGGGGAAGACCGAGGCCUGCUCUGUGUUCAACAACGCGCUAACAGGUUCAGACGCCAACUACAACCCUUCACUCCUCCAACCUGAGGAGCUAGCGUUUCUCCCUGCAGAGUUCCCAGCUGAUCCAGGCCAAUCAGACAGUUCUUUCCGCAGGUAUGCAAGGGUGCCAGUCAACAUUCUGCCCGUCUGAAAAUACACUAACAAGGUGCUCCGAGAGGAUCCCUACCAGACAAAAUUCAGAAUUCUGAAAAAGGUAUUAGUGCAACUGUAAGCAGCUAUGACAAUAGAUACCCUAACUCAAAAGUAAUUUUCCAAAAGGCAUUUGAGUAUGUACCUGGAUUCGUUAAAUGAUCAAUAUAAUUUGUGAUUAGUUAAGUCAAUCAUAUACUA